UGGGGAAUAUUGGACAAUGGGCGCAAGCCUGAUCCAGCCAUGCCGCGUGAGUGAUGACGGCCCUAGGGUUGUAAAGCUCUUUCGCAGGUGAAGAUAAUGACGGUAACCUGAGAAGAAGCCCCGGCUAACUUCGUGCCAGCAGCCGCGGUAAUACGAAGGGGGCUAGCGUUGUUCGGAAUUACUGGGCGUAAAGCGCACGUAGGCGGAUAUUUAAGUCAGGGGUGAAAUCCCGGGGCUCAACCCCGGAACUGCCUUUGAUACUGGAUAUCUCGAGUCCGAGAGAGGUGAGUGGAAUUCCGAGUGUAGAGGUGAAAUUCGUAGAUAUUCGGAGGAACACCAGUGGCGAAGGCGGCUCACUGGCUCGGUACUGACGCUGAGGUGCGAAAGCGUGGGGAGCAAACAGG
rnacentral:rRNA from 1 species